rnacentral:rRNA from 1 species
AACGAACGCUGGCGGCGUGCCUAACACAUGCAAGUCGCGCGAGAAAAGGGGGGCAACUCCCUGAGUAAAGCGGCGCACGGGUGAGUAACGCGUAGGUGACCUACCCUUGAGUCCAGGAUAACCUACCGAAAGGUGGGCUAAUACCGGAUAUGACCACGGGGAUCUCGGUCCCCGAGGUGAAAGGUGGCCUCUGUUUACAUGCUACCGCUCAUCGAUGGGCCUGCGCGCCAUUAGCAGCUGGUGGGGUAAUGGCCCACCAAGGCGAUGAUGGCUAGCUGGUCUGAGA